AGGGUUUGAUUAUGGCUCAGGAUGAACGCUGGCGGCGUGCUUAACACAUGCAAGUCGAACGAAGCAUUUAGAACGGAUUACUUCGGUUUGAAGUUCUUUAUGACUGAGUGGCGGACGGGUGAGUAACGCGUGGGUAACCUGCCUUGUACUGGGGGAUAGCAGCUGGAAACGGCUGGUAAUACCGCAUAAGCGCACAAUGUUGCAUGACAUGGUGUGAAAAACUCCGGUGGUAUAAGAUGGACCCGCGUCUGAUUAGCUAGUUGGUGAGAUAACAGCCCACCAAGGCGACGAUCAGUAGCCGACCUGAGAGGGUGACCGGCCACAUUGGGACUGAGACACGGCCCAG
rnacentral:rRNA from 1 species